CCGUGCGCAUGCGCGGGGUCUGCUCUACCGGCUCGCCCUGGUCUUUUGCUUUCUUUUUCUGUCCUCGGCCUCGCUCUCGCGCGCGGGACCACAAUGCUCCGCGCCGCUUGUCAUUGGGAGGCGCCGAAGGUGGGGGUCGGCUCGGAAGGAAAAGAUCACUCACUUUUGGGGGCAUCCAGAAGCCAUGUUGUGAGGACACUCAAGCAGCUGUGCAAAGAGGCACACCUGGAGAGGAACUGAGGCCUCCCACCAAAACCAAGCACUGACAUGCCACUCAUGGGAGAGAGGCCAAAAAAGGAGAGAGGAUGGGAUGCUGAUGCAGCAUUCUGCUCCCCAUAAGCCAUCCAAGUGGCAGACUGGGCUUACCUUUCCUAUGACAUCUGUUAACAGCUUGAGGGACAGAGGAUCAUGAACCAAAGCAUCUGUGUAAAAGGAACCAAGCAAUCACCGGAACAUAUAAAACAUCAGAGCAGAAAGAGACCUUUGGAGGAAUCCAGACCAGCAUUCUCAUUUUACGGAUGAGGGAUUGCGGCCUAUGGAGGUUUCCAUGGAUGAUUGGAAAAACCCAAGAGUUGGUCCUCUGUUCCAGACCCCACACAGACACAAACCUACGAGCCAAGGGAGCCAGUAUUUGGCCAUUCGUCCAUCCAUCUGCAUGUCCCAGGGAUGCACGAACAGAGAACACUUCAGCCUUUCAGCUGCCUUCAAAGAAGCAAUGAGAGAGAGAGAGAGAGGGUUACUUUGAUGAGUGAGCAGAUACCAGCCGGAAUUUUGAGAGCUGACAGCCAUUGUAAGGAGUCAGUCCCUGAUCUCUGUUGCUUUACAUUCAGUGUAUAUAAAUGUUUGUACUGAGUCACAACGUAAAAUAGAUUUCCGCCUGGGAAUCAUGCAUAGAAACUGUGGAAAGCCACCGACUGAAAACAUAGAAGUACGAUGUAUUAUAACUGUAACGAUGAAAAUGAUGUAGAUGGUGGUGAUGAAGUGUCAGCUGUCUGUUUGCAGCAUGUGAGACUACUACAUAAGAAGAAACCUGGUUUGGAAUGAAAAACCAAACAUCAUAUGUUCUCACUCGUAAGUGGGAGCUAAGUUAUGAGGAUGCAAAGGCAUAGGAAUGAUACGGUGGACUUUGGGGAGUCAGGGGGGAAGGGUGGGAAGGAGUGAGGGAUAAAAGACUACAAAUUGGGUGCAGUGUAUACU